rnacentral:rRNA from 1 species
GUUUCAGCCGCCGCGGUAAUACGAAGGGUGCAAGCGUUACUCGGAAUUACUGGGCGUAAAGCGUGCGUAGGCGGUUCGUUAAGUCCGUUGUGAAAGCCCUGGGCUCAACCUGGGAAUGGCAGUGGAUACUGGCGAGCUAGAGUGUGAUAGAGGAUGGUGGAAUUCCCGGUGUAGCGGUGAAAUGCGUAGAGAUCGGGAGGAACACCAGUGGCGAAGGCGGCCAUCUGGAUCAACACUGACGCUGAGGCACGAAAGCGUGGGGAGCAAACAGGAUUAGAUACCCUAGUAGUCC